GAAAAACAUGGCGGACGUUCAAAGGUGUGAAAUGUGGAAAUAUCGCUGUUUGAACGAUAAAAAGCAAUUGGUGGAUGAUCAGGGUUGACUUGUAGAUACUGUGAAUAAAUAUGUCUUUGCUGAUGUCGGACACAAGUGGGCACUUAGGAUAUUUUUGCCUACAGUCAUGUGUUAUAUGCUGAACUACCAAAAUACUUCACAUCUAAAGAUCAGUCACACAAGUGGCCAGCAAUCACGCCAUCAGCGCACUCCCAUGAAAUCUGCAGAGAGCCAUUACCUGGUAUCCUUACCGACAGCCAUCAUCGCCAGAGCAGUCCUCUGAUCAUGGCCUCAAGGUUAGACUCUGCCGAGAGCAG